ACGUAGGGUGCAAGCGUUAAUCGGAAUUACUGGGCGUAAAGGGCGCGUAGGCGGUUCGGUAAGUUAGGCGUGAAGGGCCCGGGCUCAACCCGGGAACUGCGCUUGAGACUGCCGGGCUCUGAGUCCGAGAGAGGAUGGCGGAAUUCCCAGUGUAGAGGUGAAAUUCGUAGAUAUUGGGAAGAACACCAGUGGCGAAGGCGGCCAUCUGGCUCGGUACUGACGCUGAGGCGCGAAAGCGUGGGGAGCAAACAGGA
rnacentral:rRNA from 1 species